rnacentral:miRNA from 1 species
AGGGUGUACGUGGUGGUCUGGUA